rnacentral:tRNA from 1 species
UUGGUGAAAACCAAAAAGAGGUGUAUCACUGUUAAUGAUAAAAUUGAGUAUAAUUCUCUCACCAAG